rnacentral:snRNA from 1 species
ACGCCCUCGACCUAUUCUCAAACU